AAGAGAUAUUGCGUUUAAAAAUAUAAAGAAAAAAAAAACAAAAUGAGUAAGCGCUAUAAAAAAAUGAGAAAAAAUAAAUCUUUUAUAUAAGUAAAGGAAUGAGAGAAUCUAGUAGACUUUAUAUUAUUUUUUUUUUAAAAAAUGAAUACUAGAUAGAAACAUAUUCACCGACUUAUUACACGGAGUAGGUGUGCGAAGCCAGCAAGAUGACAAACAAAAAAUGAAAUUACAGAGAGUAAUGAAGAGUUAGCAAACAAAUCUAUAUACCGCGAAACUACCUAUUUUCUUAAAGACUCUAUUAAAGAUGAAGAUGUGGCAUAAGAUAAAGAACUAGACGAUCUUUUGCAAUCACCUGAUGAAAUAGUAUUUCAUAUAGAUUAUAUGACUCGAAUAGGAUUUGAAAAAGAAUUUAAAAACAGUAACAGUUUUAACAAUUUGUUUAAAAAUUUUUUAUUGGGCUAUCAAUUUGUUGUGCUUUGUGCGAAAUCGACAUCAGAAAAUCAGAGCAAAGUGAUGAAACGAAAUUAUAAUUCUCCUGUAUAUUUCAUCAAACCAUUGGAAGGAAGUGUCAAUUUGGAUUAUCUGAAAACUACAAAUCUCAGUGCCGCAUUCAACAUUUUAGAAAAUGAUAGUGGUUGGAGAAUUAUACGAUUGAGUAAAUUUUGCAUCAAAAGUUUGUUCAAUUUGUCAGAAAAAUCCAUGUCUAAACUGCGUCAUUAUGAAAUGGAUGGAAAACGAGUUAAAAAAAUAAAAAAUGAUGACAAACCAAAGAAAAAAAGAUCAGAAAAGCAAAAAGAAAGAUACAAUUUAAACAAGAGAAACAAAUAUAAAAAUUUGUCUGGAAAAGCUCUUUUUUCAUAUAAAGAAAAACAACGGAUGCGAAAAAAAAAAAAAUUUGACUUCCCAAGUGUUAGAAGAAAGAACAAACGAGUGGAGUGGAGAUAACGAAGAUAAGAGGAGAAAAUGAUUUUUUAAGAAAUAUUGAUGUAAUUAUUGACGAAAACCAAAAUAUAUUCGAAGCAUAGAUACCGAAAGAUAAGAUUAAAAUGGAAAGGAAAUAAGUUAAUCAAAACACUAUGAAAAUAAUAUAUAUAUAAAAUAAAAUAAUAUUGAUGUAACUGAACGUUUAAUUGGAAAUACAAAUAUAAAGAGAGAGAGGUGAAUCUAAAUGAUGGAACUUUAUCAAAAACAAAAAAAAUAUCUAAUGAUGAAACGAUUGGUAUAGACACAAUAGAAUAAAAUUAUCAAUAAAAAAUAUUUUUAAUGUUAUAUAAAAAUAAUAGAAGAACUUGAAAAAAAAUUACAAAUCAUUCGUAAUUUUUUUUAUUUUAU